rnacentral:rRNA from 1 species
AGAGUUUGAUCCUGGCUCAGGAUGAACGCUGGCGGCGUGCCUAAUACAUGCAAGUCGAGCGAACCACUUCGGUGGGAAGCGGCGAACGGGUGAGUAACACGUAGGUGAUCUGCCCAUCAGACGGGGACAACGAUUGGAAACGAUCGCUAAUACCGGAUAGGACGAAAGUUUAAAGAUGCUCCUGGCAUCACUGAUGGAUGAGCCUGCGGCGCAUUAGCUAGUUGGUGGGGUAAAGGCCUACCAAGGCGACGAUGCGUAGCCGACCUGAGAGGGUGAACGGCCACACUGGGACUGAGACACGGCCCAGACUCCUACGGGAGGCAGCAGUAGGGAAUCUUCGGCAAUGGGCGAAAGCCUGACCGAGCAACGCCGCGUGAAUGAAGAAGGCCUUCGGGUUGUAAAAUUCUGUUAUAAGGGAAGAAAGGUGAUAGGAGGAAAUGACUAUCAAUUGACGGUACCCUAUGAGAAAGCCACGGCUAACUACGUG